CGGCAACGGAUAUCUCGGCUCUCGCAUCGAUGAAGAACGUAGCGAAAUGCGAGACUUGGUGUGAAUUGCAGAAUCCCGUGAACCAUCGAGUCUUUGAACGCAAGUUGCGCCCGAAGCCAUCAGGCCGAGGGCACGCCUGCCUGGGCGUCACACGCCGUUGCCCCC
rnacentral:rRNA from 1 species